rnacentral:other from 1 species
AUUUCUCUGAGAUGUUCGCAAGCGGGCCAGUCCCCUGAGCCGAUAUUUCAUACCAUAAGAAUGUGGCGCUCCGCGGUUGGUGAGCAUGCUCGGUCCGUCCGAGAAGCCUUAAAACUGCGACGACACAUUCACCUUGAACCAAGGGUUCAAGGGUUACAGCCUGCGGCGGCAUCUCGGAGAUUCC